CUUUAUCCCCACCUCUUCUCCUGAUUAGCUUCUCUCUACCUCCUUCCUCAACCUCUUUCUGGUAUCCAAGGUAGAGUGUUGGUCCAGUUUACAUAGUGUAUUUAGUGUGUUUAGGGUUGGGAAACACUGACGUACUUCACCUCUCUAUUUCAUGCAGUAAUCAUUCUAACAGUCAUAACAAGUUGGUAUCUAGCUUUUACUUGAAUAUCUCGUGUUGGGAAAUUUGCCGCCUCAGAGGCAACCCAUUCCAGCUUUGGGCAGCAGUGGUUUUGUAGAGAGUUUUUCAUUAUAUCAAGCUAAAGUCUACUCCCUUUCUCUGCCCCAUGUCUUCCACCCAUUGGUCCCAGAUCUGCCUGUUGAACCCACAGAGAAUCCAUCUAAUCCCUUUAUAAAGGGGCGUGGAGAAUACCCAGGAGUGUAAUUGUUAACUUGUCACAGUGGCUCAGACCUGGCCUGAAUGAUUGUAUUAUAGAUAUCCUGUGCUUUGUAUGCUAGCUGUGUUCCUAAAACAUUGUAUAAGCCAAGUUUUGUAUGAAUCAAAUCAUUUUAGACAUACUGAGAAGUUGACUGUUUAAAAGAAACCCUGUUAUCAGUUCUUUCAUAAACUGAAGAAUCCUUGUGUAAUGCAAAUAAUCUCC
rnacentral:lncRNA from 1 species